rnacentral:rRNA from 1 species
ACGAACGCUGGCGGAGUGCUUAACACAUGCAAGUCGAACGGAAAGGCCCUGCUUUUGUGGGGUGCUCGAGUGGCGAACGGGUGAGUAACACGUGAGUAACCUGCCCUUGACUUUGGGAUAACUUCAGGAAACUGGGGCUAAUACCGGAUAGGAGCUCCUGCUGCAUGGUGGGGGUUGGAAAGUUUCGGCGGUUGGGGAUGGACUCGCGGCUUAUCAGCUUGUUGGUGGGGUAGUGGCUUACCAAGGCUUUGACGGGUAGCCGGCCUGAGAGGGUGACCGGCCACAUUGGGACUGAGAUACGGCCCAGACUCCUACGGGAGGCAGCAGUGGGGAAUAUUGCACAAUGGGCGGAAGCCUGAUGCAGCAACGCCGCGUGCGGGAUGACGGCCUUCGGGUUGUAAACCGCUUUCGCCUGUGACGAAGCGUGAGUGACGGUAAUGGGUAAAGAAGCACCGGCUAACUACGUG